rnacentral:rRNA from 1 species
GCUUACGGCCAUACACCCUGAACACGCCCGAUCUCGUCUGAUCUCGGAAGCUAAGCAGGGUCGGGCCUGGUCAGUACUUGAUGGGAGACCGCUGGAUACCAGUGCUGUAAGCU